rnacentral:rRNA from 1 species
UGGGGAAUUUUGGACAAUGGGCGCAAGCCUGAUCCAGCAAUGCCGCGUGCAGGAUGAAGGCCUUCGGGUUGUAAACUGCUUUUGUACGGAACGAAAAGGCUCUGGUUAAUACCUGGGGUCUAUGACGGUACCGUAAGAAUAAGCACCGGCUAACUACGUGCCAGCAGCCGCGGUAAUACGUAGGGUGCAAGCGUUAAUCGGAAUUACUGGGCGUAAAGCGUGCGCAGGCGGUUUUGUAAGACAGAGGUGAAAUCCCCGGGCUCAACCUGGGAACUGCCUUUGUGACUGCAAGGCUGGAGUACGGCAGAGGGGGAUGGAAUUCCGCGUGUAGCAGUGAAAUGCGUAGAUAUGCGGAGGAACACCGAUGGCGAAGGCAAUCCCCUGGGCCUGUACUGACGCUCAUGCACGAAAGCGUGGGGAGCAAACA